GUGCUCACUUCGACAGCAUGUAUUCUAAAAUUAGAAUGAUACAGAGAAGAUUAGCAUGGCCCCAGUGCAAGGAUGACACGUAAAUUCGUGAAGUGUUCCAUAUUUUA
ensembl:snRNA U6 U6 spliceosomal RNA